rnacentral:rRNA from 1 species
UCGAGAAUAUUUCGCAAUGGGCGAAAGCCUGACGAAGCGACGCCGUGUGAACGAAGAAGGCCUUCGGGUUGUAAAGUUCUGUCGCCUGUGAGCAAGGGGUGUGGAUGAAUAAAACGCACCUUUGAGAGUAACAGGAAAGGAAGCACCGGCUAACUCCGUGCCAGCAGCUGCGGUAAUACGGAGGGUGCAAGCGUUAGUCGGAAUUACUGGGCGUAAAGGGUGCGUAGGCUGGGAGAUAAGUCAGACGUGAAAUUUCGAAGCUCAACUUCGAAGCGGCAUCUGAAACUAUCUUUCUAGUGGGAUAGCGGAGAAAACGGAAUUCCAUGUGUAGCGGUGAAAUGCGUAGAUAUAUGGAAGAACACCUGUGGCGAAAGCGGUUUUCUAGCUUAAACCAGACGCUGAGGCACGAAAGCAAGGGGAUCAAACAGGAUUAGAUACCCCCGUAGUCC